rnacentral:rRNA from 1 species
GACGAACGCUGGCGGCGUGCCUAAUACAUGCAAGUCGACCUUAGUGGCGAACGGGUGAGUAACCCGUGGGUAACCUGCCCAUCAGAAGGGGGUAACACUUGGUAACAGGUGCUAAUCACGUAUACUGAUGGCUGGAACCGCUGUGCCUUAGAUAGUUGGUGAGGCAACGGCUUACCAAGGCCACGAUGCAUAGCCGACAUGAGAGGGUGAUCGGCCACAUUGGGACUGAGACACGGCCCAAGCUCCUACGGGAGGCAGCAAUAGGGAAUCUUCGGCAAUGGACGAAAGUCUGACGGAGCAACGCCGCGUGAGUGAAGAAGGUUUUAGGAUCGUAAAACUCUGUUGUUAGAGAAGCGGUAUCUAACCAGAAAGCCACGGCUAACAACGUGCCAGCAGCCGCGGUAAUUC